AGGAAAUUAACAGUGUCCUAAAUUCUGGGUUUCCCUUGUUCCAUCAUAUCUUCAUGCUUGUUUCUUCUUGUAGGUUAAGUAGUGGUCUUCUGCUUGUUUUGAUUUGAAAGUUUUUGGAUCUGAUGAUUUUAACCCACGUCUGCUGAGCCAUAUAUAUAUGUGUGUGUCAAAUAAGGUUGAGAGGUUCAAUCUUGUAACCGUAACUAGGGUUUCUUUUUCCUUCUUUUUGGCCAUUUUUUCUAGGUUUAGGCAAAGGAGAGAUUUAUUGUUGGUUAAAGGUGAGACAAAGGGGUGGAGCUCCUUGAAGUCCAAUAGAGGGUCUUGCAGGGUAUAUAGAGCUGCUGAGCUAUGGAUCCCUAAAGCUCUAUCCCAUAUAUAUAACUUUUAAAAGAAGGGAUAGACUUUUGGCUUGCAUAUCUCAGGAGCUGCAUUACCAAAAAUGUCAGAUCCUUGUUUGGAUUGAAGGGAGCUCUACACUUAGUCACUGAUCUUUGUUUUUAGUAGCUAUGAUCUGAUUUAACUUUAUAGAACCCGUUCAUGGUUUUGCUUUGAAUAUUGCAAGUUGAUUACUUGAUUUUCUUUUUUGAAGUUUAUGCAGGAGGAGGGUGAAGACAUUGAAAGGGGCAGAGAUGGUGUCAGAAUAUCUUGUGCUUAGAUUUUUUUGGUUCAGCGAUUUUCUAAACAAUUUUUAGAGAGAGAGAGAGGGGAGUUAGGGCCAUUCAUUGUACCUUUAUUUUUUUAAAAUAUAUAUAUGGUUUUUGCUUUUAUUCUUCAAAUAUUGUUGGUGUUUUGUGAAUUGCAAUCUAUGUUUGUGUAUGAGCUGGAAAGUUUAUUAUUGUAUUUUAAUUUUAUUAUUCUUUAAAAUUGUAUUAUAUCAUCACAUAAAUAUUAUAUAUGGUAUAGAGGAUGAUGUUAUUACAUGAGUUAAAAUUAAAAAUUGUUGAAAGAGUUGAGGGACUGAAUGUUAAUUUAAAUUUUAAUUAAUGAUUUAAUAUGUAUUUUGAUUUGUGAUUGAAAUAUUAAAAUACCAACUUCAAGGAGCAAUCUUCGGAUUAUUGACUGUAGGCAGGGAUUUUUU
rnacentral:lncRNA from 1 species